GUGGGGAAUAUUGGACAAUGGGCGAAAGCCUGAUCCAGCAAUGCCGCGUGAGUGAAGAAGGCCUUAGGGUUGUAAAGCUCUUUUACCCGGGAUGAUAAUGACAGUACCGGGAGAAUAAGCUCCGGCUAACUCCGUGCCAGCAGCCGCGGUAAUACGGAGGGAGCUAGCGUUGUUCGGAAUCACUGGGCGUAAAGCGCACGUAGGCGGCUUUGUAAGUUAGAGGUGAAAGACCGGGGCUCAACUCCGGAACUGCCUUUAAGACUGCAUCGCUUGAAUCUGGGAGAGGUAAGUGGAAUUCCGAGUGUAGAGGUGAAAUUCGUAGAUAUUCGGAAGAACACCAGUGGCGAAGGCGGCCAUCUGGACCAGCACUGACACUGAGGCACGAAAGCGUGGGGAGCAAACAGGAUUAGAUACCCUUGUAGUCC
rnacentral:rRNA from 1 species